UGCAAGCCCAAAGCGGUCCUUAUGCUCCAUAUGAUAUCUUAAAGUGAUUAUCCUAUUUUAAAUAUCUUACAAAGCAAAACUAACAAAACACAAAAUACUUCAAAAUACGCAGAUUUUAAGUUAGCGAUUUAAGUUGGCAAGUACGUUUCUAAAGGACCCAGCCGAACUCUCCUGCAAGCUUUUGGACGUGCUCCACCUUGAGAAGGGAAGGAAAGUCUGGAGGAACGAGAACGUCGCCAAGAAAGCUUGGAUACUUUGCUCUGAUGCAGGCCUGAUCGGAAAUGAAAAUGCACGUUCUGAGGCUCACUUGAAAACUGGAUUUGUCCUGCACGGCCUCUUUAACAUACAAGCUGGGAAAGGAGGGGGGGGGGAGGCAUUUGCCCCCAGUCUCCCCUUGCGCAAAAACGAAAUCACAUUUUUCCCCACUCCCCCAGAAAAGUCCCUUUUUCCUAAAUUUAUACAAACAAACCAGCGAAGAAUAACAAAUUGAUAAACGGAACAUACGUUUUAGGCUUUAUCCUUUGUCCUUGUUUAACAAAAUCGAAUUAAAGGACUGUGUGACCGCGUGGCAUCCUACUUGUUUCUAACACUAAGUAAUGAUAAAUUAUUGUUAAUAUUUUUUAAAUUCUUUGUGUGUUUUUUCCUUCUUUUAUUUCAAAUAGAAGUAUAGUUAGGAUAAAUUCUAGAAAA